GCGGCGUGCGCGGGCACGAGGCGUAGUGGUCUCCCCUAAGGCUGAGGCGGCGGCGGGCGCGCGGCGGCGGCGGGCGUGCGAGGCUGUUGUGCUCCCGGCUCUCGUGUUUCCCCUCCUGAGCGGGUGGAGGAGGCCCAAGCGGUGCUGGGCGCGCUCCCCCUUCCUUUCCCUCCGGCGUCCUCUCCCGGCCCUCUCGCGCUGCACUGUCUCUCCGACGCAAGACUGUCCCGGCCCGGGAUAAGCUCUGCAGUACUGCAGAUUAAAGAAAAUGGAAUGUCAUUCAGAAGUCUAGAGGAAGGUCCUGUUUCUGAAAGUGAUGUACUCCAUGAACCGGAAGAGAAUUCUAAACUACUGUUUUGCGUCUUCGUUAGGACAUAAGAAGACAUGGCUUUUAUGAAGUAGGAGUGAAAAAUUAUGAAGAAAGAGCAGGUAGCAAUGGAGGGAGAGCAGAAUGAAAUAAAGAACUAUUGUGAGGAAUGCAAGGACACAUGGUGAUGUGAUGAAAAGAAGACCAGCUGUGGUCACACAACAUCUAAAAGUUAUUGAUGUUGCCAAGAAAAGAGCAAAGCCAGUUGGAACAGAUGCAAGAACCAAAGAUGUCAUCUUUCAUCAUAGAUGCAUAAAGCAAACUCUCACACUUUCAUCAAAGAUGUGUAAUUACCAGGUUCUCACAUCCAUGAAGCUUUGCCCGAACACUAUUUGUUCAGUAACGGAGUAAGAGCCUACUGUGUAACAGACUCUGUGUUGUGGACCAAGAUAAAAUGGUCAUCUCUCUCCUGUGGUCCCUUCCACACCCAGUCCCCAACUCUACCAUGCCACCUACAACAUUCUGCUGUUUGUAACCAUUAACAUUUCUGCCCUGCAACAGAAAUGUGGGGUCCUAGAGGGCAGGAUGGUAAUUUGCCCAUCUCUAUGUUCUCAGAAUCUAAUACAAAAAAAGUUUCUUGACUGAAUAAUGAAGUGCAUGAAUAAAACAUCAGCAGAUUGACCAACAGUUACAGUUCUCCUAUGAUGAUUUCUUUGAC
rnacentral:lncRNA from 1 species